rnacentral:misc_RNA from 1 species
GAAAUGCGAUAAGUAAUGUGAAUUGCAGAAUUCAGUGAAUCAUCGAAUCUUUGAACGCACAUUGCGCCCGCCAGCACUCUGGCGGGCAUGCCUGUUCGAGCGUCAUUUCAACCCUCAGAACCCCUUGCGGGGUCUGGCGUUGGGGAUUGGCAUCCAGCCAGCCCCGAACUCUAGUGGCGGUCCCUCCGCGACCUCCCCUGUGCAGUAGCGAUACCUCGCAGCGGGACAGCGGUCUGACCACGCCGUAAAACCCCCAACUUCUCAAGGUUGACCUCGAAUCAGGUAGGAAUACCCGCUGAACUUAAGC